rnacentral:rRNA from 1 species
GAGUGCUGAAGUUUAACGCAUUAAGCACUCCGCCUGGGGAGUACGGCCGCAAGGCUGAAACUCAAAGGAAUUGACGGGGGCCCGCACAAGCGGGUGGAGCAUGUGGGUUUAAUUCGAAGCAACGCGAAGAAACCUUACCAGGUCUUGACAUCCUCUGAAAACCCUAGAGAUAGGGCUUCUCCUUCGGGAGCAGAGUGACAGGUGGUGCAUGGUUGUCGUCAGCUCGUGUCGUGAGAUGUUGGGUUAAGUCCCGCAACGAGCGCAACCCUUGAUCUUAGUUGCCAUCAUUAAGUUGGGCACUCUAAGGUGACUGCCGGUGACAAACCGGAGGAAGGUGGGGAUGACGUCAAAUCAUCAUGCCCCUUAUGACCUGGGCUACACACGUGCUACAAUGGACGGUACAAAGAGCUGCAAGACCGCGAGGUGGAGCUAAUCUCAUAAAACCGUUCUCAGUUCGGAUUGUAGGCUGCAACUCGCCUACAUGAAGCUGGAAUCGCUAGUAAUCGCGGAUCAGCAUGCCGCGGUGAA